AUUGAACGCUGGCGGCAUGCUUUACACAUGCAAGUCGAACGGCAGCGCUGGCUUCGGCCUGGCGGCGAGUGGCGAACGGGUGAGUAAUACAUCGGAACGUGCCCAGUAGUGGGGGAUAGCUCGGCGAAAGCCGGAUUAAUACCGCAUACGACCUGAGGGUGAAAGCGGGGGAUCUUCGGGCCUCGCGCUAUUGGAGCGGCCGAUGGCAGAUUAGCUAGUUGGUGGGGUAAAGGCCUACCAAGGCGACGAUCUGUAGCUGGUCUGAGAGGACGACCAGCCACACUGGGACUGAGACACGGCCCAGACUCCUACGGGAGGCAGCAGUGGGGAAUUUUGGACAAUGGGCGAAAGCCUGAUCCAGCAAUGCCGCGUGUGUGAUGAAGGCCUUCGGGUUGUAAAGCACUUUUGGCGGGAACGAAAAGGACUGUGCCAAUACCACGGUUCGAUGACGGUACCCGCAGAAUAAGCACCGGCUAACUACGUG
rnacentral:rRNA from 1 species